rnacentral:rRNA from 1 species
GACAGAGGGUGCAAACGUUGUUCGGAAUUACUGGGCGUAAAGUGUGCGCAGGCGGCCGAGCAAGUCGAGUGUGAAAGCCCCGAGCUUAACUUGGGAACUGCGCUCGAAACUACUUGGCUAGAGUGUGGCAGAGGGAGGUGGAAUUCCACGUGUAGCGGUGAAAUGCGUAGAGAUGUGGAGGAACACCGAUGGCGAAGGCAGCCUCCUGGGCCAACACUGACGCUCAUGCACGAAAGCGUGGGGAGCAAACAGG